CACGAGUGACGGAAGCACCCAGGAAGAGGGCGGCUUGGCGGGGGCCCAGAGGACGGUAUUGCAGAGCGAGACCCAAGGUUCUUGUAACAGAGCGUCUUCUGGCACGUUCUGAGGAAGCCGGGAAACUUCCACUCCCAGGUUAUAUCAGAAUUCGAAUUGUUGGAAAAGCUGAAGACGGGCAGGGCUAAAAAGGCCCUCAGGAAGGUUCCGGAGCUGACCUGACCCACGCUCCCUCGGGGACACAGAGUGUGAAUGUGACGGCUGGCGCUUCAGCAGCCAUAUUUUGCCUAGGAGCCAAAUUGGAGAAUGGCGGCCAUGAUUUCAGAAUGACAGAACAGGAAGAUAAAAGGAGCCUGGGUCUCUUCUCCCAGACGAUGCUGUGCAGCCGCCACACUAGCCCCACGGUGCCCGCCUGUGGACUUCGUUACCAAAUAAAUGAGUAAAUAAACAGCCCCCUAAUCUCCGCAAGCCCUUAUUUGUCAGGCUCCCAUUCCUAGCAGCCAUGUCAACUCCUAGGUGUCACAAGCUUUGAGCUCCUUCAGAUGAGGGGCGAUUCCGAUUAGAACUGGAUAGGAGCCUGAAGUAGUUUUCAAACUGUGUGCCUCAGAAGCCAGGGGUUCCCCGGAGGCCCCCUCUCAGACGGGAGAUUGGGCGUGGGGAGUAUGGGACCAUGCUGCUUCUCCCUACCGCAUCUUUUCCCCCCCAACUUUGUUUUAACGUAUUAUUAGGGAGAGAGGUGGCCCAGUUUGCUUCUUUAAAGAACCGA